UCUCUACCCUUUGUGACUAUUAUACCUGUUGCUUUGGCGGCGCCCGCAAGGGCGCCCGCCGGUCUCAUCAGAAUUUUUGUUUUUGAACCCGACGAUACUUUUGAGUGUUUUUAGCGAACUGUCAAAACUUUUAACAACGGAUUUUUUGGCUCCAGCAUCGAUGAAGAACGCAGCGAAACGCGAUAUGUAAUGUGAAUUGCAGAAUUCAGUGAAUCAUUGAAUUUUUGAACGCACAUGGCGCCUUCCAGUAUCCUGGGAGGCAUGCCUGUCCGAGGGUCGUUUCAACCCUCGAGCCCCCCGUGGCCCGGCGUUGGGGAUCUGCCACGGCAGGCCCCUAAAACCAGUGGCGGACCCGAAGGGCCCUCUCCUUUGCGCAGUAGCAUUCGCCUCGCAUCGGGAGUCCUCGGCGUCCUGCCUCUAAACCCCCCACAAGUCCGCCCCGGCGGCACCAAGGUUGACCUCGGAUCAGGUAGGAAUACCCG
rnacentral:rRNA from 1 species